UUCUGAACGCCCCGGGCUGCGCUUUGGAAUAGCCCCGGGGCGGCCGUCCCCCCACAACCAAGGAGGACGCGAUCUGGGGAAGCCGGUCCCCCCGCGCCCCAGACCUAGGUGCGUCCCCGGCCGAGGGAGAAAGGCACGUGACCCCAACAAAAGAGAAACAGAAAAAGGAAAGCAAGUUCCUGGAAAGGAUGAGGAAGCACAAGGGGGCGAGGAAGUUGCUGCUUCUGAGCUGAAGAACAGAAACUGAAUCUUCAAAAAAGCAAAAGCUGGGAAGGACGGAUAGAAAACCUCAUCUCAUGGUCACAGUAAAAUACUAAAAGAAUGGAGCUGCUGGGUCACAGGCUCCGGGAACACUGAACUUUACUAGAAAGUGCCAGCUGUCCACAGUGGCUUUCCGUUCUGCACCCCACAAGCAGCUGGCUCGCCUCCGGCACCUUGCUCCAAAGCUGUCAUCUUCUUGCUGAUGCUUCUUGCCAAGGAAGAGGCGAUCUGGACAGAGGCACCCGUAAGGUGGGUGUGAGGAAGACAGGAGAGGCGACCAGCUACCGGCCCCAGGGUGAACCUCAGAAGAAACCAGCCCCGACACCUUCAUCUUGGACAUCCAGCCUCCAGAAUUGUGAGCAAAUCUGUUUCUGCUGUUGAAGCCACCAGCUCUGGGUGCUUGUUAUGGCGGCCCCAGCAGGCUCACACGCCCACUGCUGCUAUGAGUCACCGUGCUCAGUUGGAGGGGCCUGGGUUUCUUUCCCUUUUACUGCUUGGGUUCCCACCAGGGGAGCUCCUGGCCCAGAGCAGGCCUCAUCUGUCUUGUCCUGCCCUGAGGACAAAGUCAAAGUUUACCAUUUUAUAGCUAAAUUCAAAUCUUUUCCCUGUUUUCACAGGCUUGGGUCCCUUAAGAUCCUUUUUGAAGUCUGUUUCUGACAAGUCCAGGGGACUUUUGGGGUGUGGUGUUGGGACUCCCUGAACCCCUGUGAUGACCUGGUCUUUUCAGGCAUAGGCCCUGGGCCAGGUCACGCUCACACCCAGACUCAGAUUCAGGCACCUGCAUGGCCCUGAGUGUGACCCUAGCACUGGCUGGACGACCCAAGGGUGAGGCACGCUGUCAUGUUCAAGGGGGAGUCUGGGGAACUGAGGUCACUGACAUCUGACUUCCAGAUGCCUGGAGCGUUCUAGGGCGAGGCCGGCCCAGGCUGACAAUCGGGUUGUGGGUAACCCUAACCCUAAAAGGAAAAUCUGCUCCAUCUCAGGUCGUUCAGAGAGGAAGAGACACUAUUCUCAAUUGGGCACUUUUUGGGGGGUCCCCCAGAAGUUCUGUAGGCUUCCCCCCUCCCCUGAGCCAGACUGACCUUUUUUUUUUAGUUUUUUUUUUUUUUAAGAUUUAUUUAUUUAUUUAUACAAGCACUGGGUACAGUCAGAAGCCCAGGAGGGUGAGAGAAUUCACCAGAGCCAGAGCAGGGAGCAGAACAGGCAGACUGACGAAGU